GAGCGCGUCCAGCAGGCGGUCCACGUCGUCCUCCGUGUUGUAGAGGUGGAAGGCGGCCCGCAGACUGCCCGCGCGGUUCGACACCUCGAUGCCCGCG
rnacentral:tRNA from 1 species